GUGGUGGUGUGCGUAGUGGUGUGUGUGGUGGUGUGCGUAGUGGUGUGUGUAGUGGUGGUGUGUGUAGUGGUGGUGUGUGUAGUGGUGGUGGUGUGUAGUGGUGGUGGUGUGUAGUGGUGGUGGUGGUGGUGUGUGUAGUGGUGUGUAGUGGUGGUGGUGGUGUGUAGUGAUGGUGGUUUGUGUAGUGAUGGUGGUGGUGGUGUGUAGUGGUGGUGGUGGUGUGUAGUGGUGGUGGUGGUGGUGUGUGUAGUGAUGGUGGUGUGUGUAGUGAUGGAGGUGGUGGUGUGUGUGGUGGUGUGUAGUGAUGGUGGUGUGUAGUGGUGGUAGUGUGUAGUGGUGGUGGUGGUGGUGUGUAGUGAUGGGUGUAGUGGUGGUGGUGGUGGUGUGUAGUGGUGGUGGUGGUGUUUAGUGGUGGUGGUGGUGUGUAGUGGUGGUGGUUUGUGUAGUGAUGGUGGUGGUGGUGUGUAGUGGUGGUGGUGUGUAGUGGUGGUGGUUUGUGUAGUGAUGGUGGUGGUGGUGUGUAGUGGUGGUGGUGUGUAGUGAUGGUGGUGUGUGUAGUGAUGGAGGUGGUGGUGUGUGUAGUGGUGGUGGUGUGUGUAGUGGUGUGCAGUGAUGGUGGUGGUGUGCAGUGAUGGUGGUGGUGUGUAGUGAUGGUGGUGGUGGUGGUGUGUAGUGAUGGUGGUGGGGCGGUGGUGUGUAGUGAUGGUGGUGGUGGUGUGUAGUGAUGGAGGUGUGUAGUGAUGGAGGUGGUGGUGUGUAGUGGUGGUGGUGUGCAUAGUGGUGUGUGUAGUGGUUGUGGUGUGUGUAGUGGUGGUGUGUAGUGGUGGUGGUGGUGUGCGUAGUGGUGUGUGUGGUGGUGUGCGUAGUGGUGUGUGUAGUGGUGGUGUGUGUAGUGGUGGUGGUGGUGUGUAGUGAUGGUGGUGGUGUGUGUAGUGGUGGUGUGUAGUGGUGUGUGUGGUGGUGUGUAGUGGUGGUGGUGUGCGUAGUGGUGUGUGUGGUGGUGUACGUAGUGGUGUGUGUAGUGGUGGUGGUGUGUGUAGUGGUGGUGGUGGUGGUGUGUAGUGGUGGUGGUGGUGGUGGUGGUGUGUAGUGGUGGUGGUGGUGUGUGUAGUGGUGUGUGUAGUGGUGGUGGUGGUGGUGUGUAGUGGUGGUGGUGGUGGUGGUGUGUAGUGAUGGUGGUUUGUGUAGUGAUGGUGGUGGUGGUGUGUAGUGGUGGUGGUGUGUAGUGAUGGUGGUGUGUGUAGUGAUGGAGGUGGUGGUGUGUGUGGUGGUGUGUAGUGAUGGUGGUGUGUAGUGGUGGUGGUGGUGUGUGUAGUGGUGGUGGUGGUGUGUAGUGAUGGGUGUAGUGGUGGUGGUGGUGGUGUGUAGUGGUGGUGGUGGUGUGUAGUGAUGGUGGUUUGUGUCGUGAUGGUGGUGUGUAGUGGUGGUGGUGUGUAGUGGUGGUGAUGUGUAGUGAUGGUGGUGUGUGUAGUGAUGGAGGUGGUGGUUUGUGUAGUAGUGGUGGUGUGUAGUGAUGGUGGUGUGUAGUGGUGGUGGUUUGUAGUGGUGGUGGGGGUGUGUGUAGUGAUGGAGGUGGUGGUGUGUGUAGUGGUGGUGGGGGGUGUGUGUGUAGUGAUGGAGGUGGUGGUGUGUGUAGUGGUGGUGUGUGUAGUGAUGGAGGUGGUGGUGUGUGUAGUGGUUGGUGGUGUGUGUAGUGGUGGUGGUGUGCAGUGAUGGUGGUGGUGUGCAGUGAUGGUGGUGGUGUGUAGUGAUGGUGGUGGUGGUGGUGUGUAGUGAUGGUGGUGGGGCGGUGGUGUGUAGUGAUGGUGGUGUGUAGUAGUGGUGGUGGUGGUGUGUAGUGAUGGAGGUGUGUAGUGAUGGAGGUGGUGGUGUGUAGUGAUGGAGGUGGUGGUGUGUAGUGGUGGUGGUGUGCAUAGUGGUGUGUGUAGUGGUUGUGGUGUGUGUAGUGGUGGUGGUGUGCAGUGAUGGUGGUGGUGUGCAGUGAUGGUGGUGGUGUGUAGUGAUGGUGGUGGUGGUGGUGUGUAGUGAUGGUGGUGGGGCGGUGGUGUGUAGUGAUGGUGGUGUGUAGUAGUGGUGGUGGUGGUGUGUAAUGAUGGAGGUGUGUAGUGAUGGAGGUGGUGGUGUUAGUCAUGGAGGUGGUGGUGUGUAGUGGUGGUGGUGUGCGUAGUGGUGUGUGUAGUGGUGGUGGUGGUGUGUAGUGGUGGUGGUGGUGGUGUGUGUAGUGGUGUGUGUAGUGGUGGUGUGCGUAGUGGUGGUGUGUGUAGUGGUAGUGGUGGUGGUGGUGUGUAGUGGUGGUGGUGGUGUGUAGUGAUGGUGUGUAGUGAUGUGGUGGUGUGUAGUGGUGGUGUGUAGUGGUGGUGGUGUUGGUGGUGGUGGUGUGUAGUGAUGGUGGUGUGUGUAGUGAUGGUGGUGGUGGUGGUGUGUGUAGUAGUGGUGGUGUGUAGUGAUGGUGGUGUGUAGUGUGGUGGUGGUGUGUGUAGUGAUGGAGGUGGUGGUGUGUAGUGAUGGUGGUGGUGUGUAGUCAUGGUGGUGUUGGUGUGUGUAGUGAUGGUGUUGGUGUGUGUAGUGAUGGUGUUGGUGGUGUGUAGUGGUGGUGGUGUUGGUGGUGGUGGUGUGUAGUGAUGGUGGUGGUGGUGUGUGUAGUAAUGGUGGUGUGUAGUGUGUUGGUGGUGUGUGUAGUGUUGGAGGUGGUGGUGUGUAGUGAUGGUGGUGGUGUGUAGUCAUGGUGGUGUUGGUGUGUGUAGUGAUGGUGUUGGUGGUGUGUAGUGGUGGUGUUGGUGUGUUGUGAUGGUGUGUAAUGGUGGUGGAGUGUGUAGUGGUGGUGGUGGUGGUGUGUAGUGGUGGUGGUUGUGUUUAGUGAUGGUGGUGUGUGAAGUGGUGGUGGUGGUGUGUCUAGUGAUGGAGGUGGUGGUGUGUGUAGUGAUGGAGGUGGUGGUGUGUAGUCAUGGUGGUGUUGGUGUGUAUUCAUGGUGGUGUUGGGGUGUAGUGGUGGUGGUGUGUGUAGUGGUGGUGGUGGUGGUGUGUAGUGGUGGUGGUGUGUGUGGUGGUGGUGGUGUGUGUAGUGAUGUUGGUGGUGUGUGUAGUGGUGGUGUGUGUAGUGAUGGUGGUGGUGUGUAGUGGUGGUGGUGGUGUGUAGUGAUGGUGGUGUGUCUAGUGAUGGUGGUGGUGGUGUGUAGUGAUGGUGGUGGUGUGUAGUGAUGGUGGUGGUGUGUGUAGUGGUGGUGGUUGUGUGUGUAGUGGUUGUGUGUGUAGUGAUGGUGGUGGUGUGUUGGUGGUGGUGUGUGUAGUGAUGGUGGUCGUGUGUAGUGGUGGUGGUGGUGGUUUGUAGUGAUGGUGGUGGUGUGUAGUGAUGGUGGUGGUAGUGUGUGUAGUGAUGGUGGUGGUAGUGUGUGUAGUGAUGGUGGUGUGUGUAGUGAUGGUGGUGUGUGUAGUGAUGGUGGUGUGUGUAGUGAUGGUGGUGGUGUGUGUAGUGAUGGUGGUGGUGUGUGUAGUGACGGUGGUGGUGUGUGUAGUGAUGGUGUUGGUGUGUAGUGAUGGUGGUGUGUGUAGUGAUGGUGGUGUGUGUGUAGUGAUGGUGGUGUGUGUGUAGUGAUGGUGGUGUGUGUGUAGUGAUGGUGGUGGUGUGUGUAGUGAUGGUGGUGGUGUGUGUAGUGAUGGUGGUGUGUCUAGUGAUGGUGUUUUUUGUGUAGUGAUGGUGAUGGUGUGUGUAGUGGUGGUGGUGUGUGUAGUGAUGGUGUUUUUUGUGUAGUGAUGGUGGUGGUGUGUAGUGAUGGUGGUGGUGUGUAGUGAUGGUGGUGGUGUGUAGUGAUGGUGGUGUGUGUAGUGAUGGUGGUGGUGUGUAGUGAUGGUGGUGGUGUGUAUUGAUGGUGGUGUGUGUAGUGAUGGUGGUGUGUGUAGUGAUGGUGGUGGAGCUGUUCUAUGAUUUGAAACAGGAGGAACAUGUCCCACCCCUGUCAGAGUUUAAUUGUGGAGAGACGGUGUCAGGGACUUCUGAUUGGAUGAUAUCAUUCUCGUUGGCGAUGAUGUGCUUCACCAGACAGUUGGCUGCUUCAUCUAUAUUCAUAUUCUCCUAGAGAGAGAGAAGGAGAGAGGAGAGAGAAGGAGAGAGAGAGAGCAGAAGAGAGAGAGAUAGAAAGAGAGAGAGAGAGAGCAGAAGAGAGAGAGAGCAGAAGAGAGAGAGAGAGAGAGAGAGAGAGAGAGAGAGAGAGCAGAAGAGAGAGAGAGAGCAGAAGAGAGAGAGAGAGAGAGCACA
rnacentral:lncRNA from 1 species